rnacentral:rRNA from 1 species
GAUCAUGGCUCAGGAUGAACGCUAGCUACAGGCUUAACACAUGCAAGUCGAGGGGAAACGACAUCGAAAGCUUGCUUUGAUGGGCGUCGACCGGCGCACGGGUGAGUAACGCGUAUCCAACCUGCCCACCACUUGGGGAUAACCUUGCGAAAGUAAGACUAAUACCCAAUGAUAUCCCACGAAGGCAUCCGAAUGGGAUUAAAGAUUUAUCGGUGAUGGAUGGGGAUGCGUCUGAUUAGCUUGUUGGCGGGGUAACGGCCCACCAAGGCUACGAUCAGUAGGGGUUCUGAGAGGAAGGUCCCCCACAUUGGAACUGAGACACGGUCCAAACUCCUACGGGAGGCAGCAGUGAGGAAUAUUGGUCAAUGGGCGAGAGCCUGAACCAGCCAAGUAGCGUGCAGGAUGACGGCCCUAUGGGUUGUAAACUGCUUUUAUAAGGGAAUAAAGUGAGUCUCGUGAGACUUUUUGCAUGUACCUUAUGAAUAAGGACCGGCUAAUUCCGUG